rnacentral:misc_RNA from 1 species
GGCAGCAGCGCGGCCCGGGACUCGGCCGCUGUGGACGUUCCCUCGCACCCCUUCCUCGGCCGCCCGCGUGUCCCGCGUGUCCCCGCGCCCCAGCCUCGCCGCGAACCGCAAUGGCCUUUUCUACUCGGAUUCAGGUGUCAGGAUGGGAGAGACACGGCCCUCGACUGGGGUGGUGGCUCACCAUAAGAAACCUAUGAGAAAGUUGGAAUACCGGGGAUCGGGCCACUCCCAUCGUCAGCCGCCGCCGCCACCGCAGGGUUUAACUGUGUGGCUUCCUCAGGAGGACGAAGACGAGGAUCGUGAGGUGGUGCUGGAGCUGCAAGAGUAUGACCAUCACGAACAGUUGAGGUGGGAUGAGAGGGGCGUGCCGGGACCUCCGCGGCCCCCGAGACCCCGAGGUGUAGGUGGUGUGCUGCAGCUGAGGGUACGCAACCGGUACGGACGGCCGAAUGUCAGCCUGUCGGACCGGAUCGAGCUGCAAGGCGAGGACGAGGCUACUCUACGGGAGCUGCUUGUGAGUCUGCAGAAACAGGUGACCGUGAUGAGCUCUAAUUUAAGUGCCAAGCUGGACGAGCUACAGCGAGGCGAUCGGCACCUUGAAACCACUGUAGCACUCCAUGAAAUCCGCUCGCAGCUCCAAGAACUCACUCGAUCCGUAGAGAGCUGUCAAAGUGAAGUUUGUGAGGUAAAGCGUGAUAUGGUAGCCAUCCGCUCUGAGCUCGACACAGUCCAGCAAGUAAAAGAGGAAAUCGAAGAGUUAAGAGAAUAUGUCGAUCGUUUGGAAGAACACACUCACCGACGCAAACUCCGUCUUCUUCAGCAGAAUUCUCCUUUGAGAGAUGACGCUGAGACUCAGCCCGCCGCUGAGCUCAGCGGGGCAGGCUUGAAGCCAACCGCGCAAAGGCGGCAAGGACUCACAUUCUUCCUAUGCAUCGCCAUCGGGGCCGCCGUGCUGGGCAUGCUCCAGUUCGGCUACAACACUGGCGUCAUCAAUGCCCCUCAACAGAACAUCGAGAACUUCAUGAAGGAUGUGUACAAGAGCCGGUACGCUGAAGACCUGACGGAGGAGACGGUCAAGCUGUUGUACUCAGUGGCUGUCGCCAUCUUUGCUAUCGGUGGCAUGUUCGGUGGUUUCAGUGGUGGUCUGAUCGCCAACAGAUUCGGAAGGAAAGGCGGGCUGCUGCUGAACAAUGUGAUGGGUGUCGGGGGCGCGUGCCUGAUGGGCUUCGCCAAGCUGGCCCACUCGUACGAGCUGCUGUUCCUGGGCCGCUUUCUCAUCGGCGUCAACUGCGGCCUCAACACCUCCCUCGUGCCCAUGUACAUCACGGAGAUCGCGCCGCUCAACCUGCGCGGCGGCCUGGGCACGCUGAACCAGUUGGCCGUGACGGUGGGGCUGCUGCUGUCGCAGGUGCUGGGCAUCGAGCAGAUCCUGGGCACGGACGACGGCUGGCCCCUGCUGCUGGGGCUCGCCGUGUUCCCCGCCAUCCUGCAGCUCGUGCUGCUGCCCAUGUGCCCCGAGUCGCCGCGGUACCUGCUCAUGACCAAGCACUGGGAGGAGGAGGCCCGCAAGGCUUUGCAGCGGCUGCGGGCGUCCUCGCAGGUCGAGGAGGACAUCGAGGAGAUGCGGGCGGAGGAACGCGCGCACUCGGCUGAGGCUUUCAUCUCCAUGACGGAACUCAUCUGCUCGCCCACGCUCAGGCACCCGCUCAUCAUCGGCAUCACCAUGCAGCUGUCGCAGCAGUUAUCCGGGAUCAACGCGGUGUUUUACUAUUCGACUGAACUAUUCAUGAGCUCCGGGCUGACCGCGGAGACCGCCAAGUUCGCGACCAUCGGCAUCGGCGUCAUCAUGCUCUUCAUGACGGUGGUGUCCAUCCCCAUGAUGGACCGCACGGGGCGGCGGACGCUGCACCUGUACGGCCUGGGCGGCAUGUUCAUCUUCUCCAUCUUCAUCACCAUCAGCUUCCUCAUCAAAGAGUUCUUUGGCUACGUGCAGGAGAUGAUCGACUGGAUGUCGUACCUGUCCGUCGUGUCGACGCUCGGCUUCGUCGUGUUCUUCGCCGUGGGGCCCGGCUCCAUCCCCUGGAUGAUCACCGCGGAGCUCUUCUCGCAGGGGCCGCGCCCCGCCGCCAUGUCCAUCGCCGUGCUCGUCAACUGGCUCACCAACUUCCUCGUCGGCAUCGGCUUCCCGACCAUGAAGACGCAUCUGGAAAAUUACACGUUCCUUCCAUUCAGCGUGUUCUUGGGCGUUUUCUGGAUAUUUACUUAUAGACAAGUUCCAGAAACCAAGAACAAAACUUUCGAGGAGAUUUCAGCCAUUUUCAGACAUGGCGGAGACAGGAGGGGAAUGCGGAACAGUAGUUUGUACGGGAGCAUGCUAAACUGUGUGAAUGCGUUAGAACAACGGUUACCUGCCAGCGAGCGGGCGGCCCUCAUGGUGGCGGAAGAAAACCCCUACCAGACUCAUGGCACAUGAUGCAAUAGACAGGCGUCGGCUCGAAUGCAGCCGGGAAUGCGUGCGACCAGCGUUUAAGCCUUGCCGGCGCCUCCGAGUCCCUCCCCGAGUCACCCAUGGGGCCGCGGCGCGUGUCCACGGCCUCGGACUGCGCCGCCGAGGUCCCCGCCACCUACGGGACUACCACCACUAC